rnacentral:tRNA from 1 species
UAUAUUUUAUUGUAUGAUGCAUUUUAAUUUUUGAUAUUAAAAGGAUUAGUUUAAUUCUAAUAAAUAUAU